UACGUAGGGUGCGAGCGUUGUCCGGAAUUAUUGGGCGUAAAGGGCUCGUAGGCGGUCUGUUGCGUCAGGAGUGAAAACUCGGGGCUUAACCCCGAGCCUGCUUCUGAUACGGGCAGACUAGAGGUAUGCAGGGGAGAACGGAAUUCCUGGUGUAGCGGUGAAAUGCGCAGAUAUCAGGAGGAACACCAGUGGCGAAGGCGACUACCUGGCCUGUUCUUGACGCUGAGGCGCGAAAGCUAGGGGAGCAAACGGG
rnacentral:rRNA from 1 species